UGUGGAGGAAAUGAAACCUACAGGGAUUGCUUCAGUAACGGCGAGUGAGGCGGCAACAGCUCAAAUUUGAAAUCCCCCGGGAAUUGUAAUUUGAAGAGAUUUGGGUCCGGCCGGCUGGGGUUAAGUCCACUGGAAAGUGGCGCCACAGAGGGUGACAGCCCCGUGAACCCCUUUAACGCCCUCAUCCCACAUCUCCAAGAGUCGAGUUGUUUGGGAAUGCAGCUCUUAGUGGGUGGUAAAUUCCAUCUAAAGCUAAAUACCGGCGAGAGACCGAUAGCGAACAAGUACAGUGAUGGAAAGAUGAAAAGCACUUUGAAAAGAGAGUGAAAAAGUACGUGAAAUUGUUGAAAGGGAAGGGCUUGCAAGCAGACACUUAACUGGGCCAGCAUCGGGGCGGCGGGAAGCAAAACCACCGGGGAAUGUACCUUUCGAGGAUUAUAACCCCGGCCCUUACUCCCUUGCUGCCCCGAGGCCUGCA
rnacentral:rRNA from 2 species